GUCCCUGUGAUAGUUGCUGCACUUAUUGGCUGCUGCCUGUUGGCUACAGUAGUGAUCGUGGUCAUCUGCAGAAGAAGAACAAGAAGAAUAAAUUCCGAACAGAAAGCACAGAACAUCUAUGAUCACAUUGGGAUGGCAUGCACAGCCAGCCCGUCACAGGAAUCUCCAGCUAAUGUAAGUUAUAAAAGUACACAGCACAUAAUGCAUUAACUUGAUAGCC